rnacentral:rRNA from 1 species
GACGAACGCUGGCGGCGUGCUUAACACAUGCAAGUCGAACGGACAGGCCCUGCUUUUGUGGGGUGCUCGUUUGGCGAACGGGUGAGUAACACGUGAGUAUCCUGCCCUUGUCUUUGGGAUAACUUUAGGAAACUGGGGCUCAUACCGGAUAGGAGCUCCUGCUGCAUGGUGGGGAUUGGAAAGUUUCGGCUGUUGGGGAUGGUCUCGCGGCUUAUCAGCUUCUUAGUGGGGUAGUGGCUUACCAAGGCUUUGACGGGUAGCCGGCCUUGGAGGGGGACCGGGCACAAUGGUCCUGAGAGAGGGCGCAGAAGGCAACGGGAGGCAGUAGGGGGGAGUAUGGCACAACGGGCCGACGUGAGAGGCAGCAACGCCGCGUGCGGGAAGACGGCCUUCGGGUUGUAAACCGAUGUGGCCGGUGACGAAGCGGGAGUGACGGUAAUGGGUAAAGAAGCACCGGCUAACUACGUG